rnacentral:rRNA from 1 species
GGUGACUAUAGCGGGGAGGCCACACCUGUUCCCAUACCGAACACAGUAGUUAAGCUCCUUUGCGCUGAUGAUACUUGGCGGGUGACUGCCUGGGAAAGCAAGACGUUGCC